UUUUACGGAGAGUUUGAUCCUGGCUCAGGACGAACGCUGGCGGCGUGCUUAACACAUGCAAGUCGAACGAUGAAGCCCAGCUUGCUGGGUGGAUUAGUGGCGAAC
rnacentral:rRNA from 1 species